rnacentral:misc_RNA from 1 species
UUUCCGUAGGUGAACCUGCGGAAGGAUCAUUAAUGAGUUGUCAUGGGGUUCGAUGCUGGCAGCCAGUUUUUGGAUGCAUGUGCUUGCCCUAACAAUCAUCUUCUUCCAAACACCUGUGCACAUUUUUGAGGGAGUCUUGAGUUGGUUGCCGCUCUUGGGUGAUUUUCUCACAUUCCCUUAAAUCAUUAUACGCUAUUAACAAUGUUGAACGUGCUCUGUGCCGCAAGGCCAUUAAUAUAAUACAACUUUUAACAACGGAUCUCUUGGCUCUCGCAUCGUGAAGAACGCAGC